GUGCUUGCUUCGGCAGCACAUAUACUAAAAUUGGAACAAUACAGAGAAAAAUAGCAUGGCCCCUGCGCAAAGAUUACAUGCAAAUUUGUGAAUUCCAUAUAAAAAUUUUUU